UACGAAGGUCCCAAGCGUUUAUCCGGAUUUAUUGGGUUUAAAGGGUGCGUAGGCGGGUUAUUAAGUCAGUGGUGAAAGCUCCAUGCCUAACAUGGAAAUUGCCAUUGAUACUGAUGAUCUUGAGUACAUUUGAAGUGGGCGGAAUGUGUCAUGUAGUGGUGAAAUACUUAGAUAUGACACAGAACACCGAUUGCGUAGGCAGCUCACUAAACUGUAACUGACGCUGAGGCACGAAAGCGUGGGGAUCAAACAGG
rnacentral:rRNA from 1 species